GACGUAGGGGGCGAGCGUUGCCCGGAUUUACUGGGCGUAAAGCGCGCGCAGGCGGCCCGCUAAGUCGGAUGUGAAAACCUGGGGCUCAACCCCAGGCCUGCACCCGAUACUGGCGGGCUCGAGGCAGGUAGGGGAGAGUGGAAUUCCCGGUGUAGUGGUGAAAUGCGUAGAUAUCGGGAGGAACACCAGUGGCGAAGGCGACUCCCUGGCCUGUUCUUGACGCUGAUGCGCGAAAGCCAGGGGAGCAAACGGG
rnacentral:rRNA from 1 species